rnacentral:tRNA from 1 species
GGUGGCUCAAUGGUAGAGCAUUUGUCUCGCAUACAUGAGGCCCUGGGUUCAAUUCCUCAGCACCA